UCCACCGAAUGCCUAAGGGUUCCUGAGGAAGGCUCGUCCGCUCAGGGUUAGUCGGGACCUAAGCCGAGGCCGAAAGGCGUAGGCGAUGGACAACAGGUUGAUAUUCCUGUACCACCUCCUCACCAUUUGAGCAAUGGGGGGUCGCAGGAGGAUAGGGUAAGCGCGGUAUUGGAUAUCCGCGUCCAAGCAGUUAGGCUGGGAAAUAGGCAAAUCCGUUUCCCAUAAGGCUGAGCUGUGAUGGCGAGCGAAAUAUAGUAGCGAAGUUCCUGAUUCCACACUGCCAAGAAAAGCCUCUAGCGAGGUGAGAGGUGCCCGUACCGCAAACCGUCACAGGUAGGCGAGGAGAGAAUCCUAAGGUGAUCGAGAGAACUCUCGUUAAGGAACUCGGCAAAAUGACCCCGUAACUUCGGGAGAAGGGGUGCUCUGUUAGGGUGCAAGCCCGAGAGAGCCGCAGUGAAUAGGCCCAGGCGACUGUUUAGCAAAAACACAGGUCUCUGCGAAGCCGUAAGGCGAAGUAUAGGGGCUGACGCCUGCCCGGUGCUGGAAGGUUAAGAGGAGCGCUUAGCGUAAGCGAAGGUGCGAAUUGAAGCCCCAGUAAACGGCGGCCGUAACUAUAACGGUCCUAAGGUAGCGAAAUUCCUUGUCGGGUAAGUUCCGACCCGCACGAAAGGCGCAACGAUCUGGGCGCUGUCUCAACGAGAGACUCGGUGAAAUUAUAGUACCUGUGAAGAUGCAGGUUACCCGCGACAGGACGGAAAGACCCCGUGGAGCUUUACUGCAGCCUGAUAUUGAAUGUUGGUACAGCUUGUACAGGAUAGGUAGGAGCCUUGGAAACCGGAGCGCCAGCUUCGGUGGAGGCAUCGGUGGGAUACUACCCUGGCUGUAUUGACCUUCUAACCCCCCGCCCUUAUCGGGCGGGGAGACAGUGUCAGGUGGGCAGUUUGACUGGGGCGGUCGCCUCCUAAAAGGUAACGGAGGCGCCCAAAGGUUCCCUCAGAAUGGUUGGAAAUCAUUCGCAGAGUGUAAAGGCACAAGGGAGCUUGACUGCGAGACCUACAAGUCGAGCAGGGACGAAAGUCGGGCUUAGUGAUCCGGUGGUUCCGCAUGGAAGGGCCAUCGCUCAACGGAUAAAAGCUACCCCGGGGAUAACAGGCUUAUCUCCCCCAAGAGCUCCACAUCGACGGGGAGGUUUGGCACCUCGAUGUCGGCUCAUCGCAUCCUGGGGCUGUAGUCGGUCCCAAGGGUUGGGCUGUUCGCCCAUUAAAGCGGUACGCGAGCUGGGUUCAGAACGUCGUGAGACAGUUCGGUCCCUAUCCGUCGCGGGCGCUGGAAAUUUGAGAGGAGCUGUCCUUAGUACGAGAGGACCGGGAUGGACGCACCGCUGGUGUACCAGUUGUUCUGCCAAGGGCAUCGCUGGGUAGCUAUGUGCGGACGGGAUAAGUGCUGAAAGCAUCUAAGCAUGAAGCCCCCCUCAAGAUGAGAUUUCCCAUUCCGCAAGGAAGUAAGAUCCCUGAAAGAUGAUCAGGUUGAUAGGUCUGAGGUGGAAGUGUGGCAACACAUGGAGCUGACAGAUACUAAUCGAUCGAGGACUUAACC
rnacentral:rRNA from 1 species